rnacentral:rRNA from 1 species
UUUGUUACGACUUAUCUCCCCUUAAGGGGAGAGUGACGGGCGAUAUGUGCACACUUCAUUACCUUAUUCAGUUAAUUUUACUUAAACUAACUUACUAAUAAAUCCACCUUCAAUCAACUUAUAAAUUAAACAUUCGUAUUCUUAUCAGAAUUGUAGCUCACCGCCACCCUUACAUGCACUGCACCUUGACCUGAAGUUAGAAAAUUAUUUUUCUUGAAAACAUCCUUAUAGAGUAAUCUGACAACGGCGGUAUACAAGCUCAACGAGUAAAGGUAAGAUAAAACGAGGCCUAUCGAUUAUAGGGCAAGCUCCUCUAUUUGGUUAAAGUGCCGCCAAAAUCUUUGGGUUUGAAGAACAACUUUUACUACCCUAUUUAAAAACAUAAUUUAGAAUAGCAGGGUAUCUAAUCCUGGUUUAUUACCUAAACUUUCUAAUUCCAAUAGAUUAUAGAAGAAAUAUUAACAUUUUAUAUAAAUUUCACCUUUGAAAAAUAAAAAUACAACUAUAUUAAUCUAACGUUAACUAGACCAAACACGUAUUCCAUUUGAGUUCUUCGUCUAACC